AGACAUCUCGUAUUAAACGGUUUUUAAAUACACCGUUUUGUUUUGAUCUCUCCUCUGUAUUCCCUCGUAUAGUCUAUGUUGUAUGUUCUUCGUUCUUUAUUAUUUGUUUCUUUUGUAUUUAAUAAUAUAUCUGCUGAAAGAAACUCGCUGCUGUAUUCAUUGUAUUGUCGUGAAGCUUCAGAAUCACCUCGGGUCUGCCAGCCAUCGUCAGUGCAGGAGGCUACGCCUGGCUGAGCUGUGCGCUCCGGCGACAACAAAAGAGCAAUCAUGACUAGUGGGGGGAAAUCAGCGUGAGCUUGCCCGUCAGAAGAAUGCUAAGAAGAACAAUGAACAUGCCAAAGGGAAGAGAAAUGAGGAUGGCCUCUCAGCAGCUGCCCGUAAGCAAAGUAUUAUUGUAUUUCAGAGAUGCUGAAAUC